GAUUAAAAAAACUAGAGCUCUACUACUAAAAAAACGUUGUGAAUCAAUUUCUUCCUCUAAGAACAAAAACAACGCAGUUGCUCCUUCUUCCUCAAAAACGAUAGCAGUAUCUAACUAUUUUACAACCAUGAAAGAAUCACUAAACUCAUCCCAAAAUAGUCCAUAAACCAGCCAUUUUUCCACACCAAAACCCUAGCGAAAAUCAGUCCAAAAUAUAAGCUAAAAAGCAACCAAAACCCAGCUGUGAAAUCACCCUCAUAUACCCCAAAUUCCAACUCCAAAUUACCCCAAAAACAUAGAGAAAUCACCCCAAAACAGCCCUAAAUGUAGCUGAAAAACGCCACCCAUCUCCAGCCCAUUUUCAGACAUGAAAAGCUAAAACUUCAGCUAUAAAAAAUAGCGACUGAAAUCGUUAGAACUCCCAUCAAAAAGCAGCUGCAACCUCAACCAUUUUUAUCCCAAAAACCACCUCGGAACACAAUUGAAAAACAUCACAAAAACUAGCAGAAAAAUCUCAUUCUCGGUUGUUAAAAAUCUGAGUGAAAAUAGUCCUGGAAAAGUCCUCAACAAAGUAUUGGUUCGAGAUUCCGGCGUACGAUCAGAUGUCGAUAACCAUCUCAGAUUCGUUCGAGACUUUGUUCAAAGUUGGUUUCCAAAUAAUAAAGAAAGUUUGCUACAUAAAGAUCCAGGUGCCCGAGCGGCCGAGUGAGCAUCUUCAGCUGAUUCUGUUUCUGUCGGGGAUUUCGAGGUAGCUGCAUGGCAUUCGCAGCCCUGUCUUCUCCCUUCUAUCAUGUUAUUUUCUGCAUUUUCUAGACUAUUCAUGUAUUAGGUAUUCAGACUUGUAUUAGAGGCUCUAGACUCGUGACACCAGAUUGUUGGGACUUGUAGUUUAUCAUUAUUUAGACUUCCGCAUAUUUUCUGUCGUUUUAAACAUUUAUUAUGAAACUAGUAUUUAAAAUCUAUGUGGAAAAUGGUUUAUUACUAAAGGAAA